UAUUUUCCUUUUUUUCCCUCAGCCGCGGUAAUACGUAUGGUGCAAGCGUUAUCCGGAUUUACUGGGUGUAAAGGGAGCGCAGGCGGUGCGGCAAGUCUGAUGUGAAAGCCCGGGGCUCAACCCCGGUACUGCAUUGGAAACUGUCGUACUAGAGUGUCGGAGGGGUAAGUGGAAUUCCUAGUGUAGCGGUGAAAUGCGUAGAUAUUAGGAGGAACACCAGUGGCGAAGGCGGCUUACUGGACGAUAACUGACGCUGAGGCUCGAAAGCGUGGGGAGCAAACAGG
rnacentral:rRNA from 1 species